UACGAAGGGGGCUAGCGUUGCUCGGAAUUACUGGGCGUAAAGCGUGCGCAGGCGGUUAUGCAAGACAGAUGUGAAAUCCCCGGGCUCAACCUGGGAACUGCAUUUGUGACUGCAUAGCUGGAGUGCGGCAGAGGGGGAUGGAAUUCCGCGUGUAGCAGUGAAAUGCGUAGAUAUGCGGAGGAACACCGAUGGCGAAGGCAAUCCCCUGGGCCUGCACUGACGCUCAUGCACGAAAGCGUGGGGAGCAAACAGG
rnacentral:rRNA from 1 species